rnacentral:lncRNA from 1 species
CGAAGUUUGAUGCGUACAGUAUCAGGGAUACUAACUAAUUUGGAAGCAGAUAUAUGCACAAACACUCAUACACAUAAUUUCUGCAACUUACAAUGACACGGAGUAAAGAUACACAGUUUCCCGGAUCGCGCCCAUUAGCAAUGUGAGCCAUUUCCUCGACUUGACCACCGUUUGAAAGGAUAUCCCACUGUAAGUGUUUUCAGGACAGCUUAGUGCUUGAGGGUUUCUGGAUAGUGCUUGUAUAAUUUAUACUCUUUAACGAACAUAUUUAUAAAAUGAUUGCACCAUUAGCAUUAAGACUCAAAGUUUCAUUUUCGUUGUAUAUAUUAAUUCAAGUCUUUUUGCUACUCUACAAGACAAAAAAUGCAAAUGUUUAAUAUACCUCACUUCGAUGGUUCUCAUCACUUAGGAACUGAAAUACUCUCUUCGGAGGAACUGGAAGCCAGAAAGAAGUUGCAGCGCAAAGCACAAUACCAGGAGGCCUGCCUGGAUCAUCCAUACUCUUUCUAGUCAUGACCCUUACAUC